rnacentral:rRNA from 1 species
GACGAACGCUGGCGGCGUGCUUAACACAUGCAAGUCGAACGGAAAGGCCCUGCUUUUGUGGGGUGCUCGAGUGGCGAACGGGUGAGUAACACGUGAGUAACCUGCCCUUGACUUUGGGGUAACUUCAGGAAACUGGGGCUAAUACCGGAUAGGAGCUCCUGCUGCAUGGUGGGGGUUGGAAAGUUUCAGCGGUUGGGGAUGGACUCGCGGCUUAUCAGCUUGUUGGUGGGGUAGUGGCUUACCAAGGCUUUGACGGGUAGCCGGCCUGAGAGGGUGACCGGCCACAUUGGGACUGAGAUACGGCCCAGACUCCUACGGGAGGCAGCAGUGGGGAAUAUUGCACAAUGGGCGGAAGCCUGAUGCAGCAACGCCGCGUGCGGGAUGACGGCCUUCGGGUUGUAAACCGCUUUCGCCUGUGACGAAGCGUGAGUGACGGUAAUGGGUAAAGAAGCACCGGCUAACUACGUG